rnacentral:rRNA from 1 species
AACGAACGCUGGCGGCAGGCUUAACACAUGCCAGUCGAACGCCCCGCCAGGGGAGUGGCAGACGGGUGAGUAACGCGUGGGAACAUACCCUUUUCUACGGAAUAGCUCUGGGAAACUGGAAUUAAUACCGUAUACGCCCUACGGGGGAAAGAUUUAUCGGGGAAGGAUUGGCCCGCGUUGGAUUAGCCAGUUGGUGGGGUAAAGGCCUACCAAGGCGACGAUCCAUAGCUGGUCUGAGAGGAUGAUCAGCCACAUUGGGACUGAGACACGGCCCAAACUCCUACGGGAGGCAGCAGUGGGGAAUAUUGGACAAUGGGCGCAAGCCUGAUCCAGCCAUGCCGCGUGAGUGAUGAAGGCCUUAGGGUUGUAAAGCUCUUUCACCGAUGAAGAUAAUGACGGUAGUCGGAGAAGAAGCCCCGGCUAACUUCGUG